AUUGAACGCUGGCGGCACGCCUAACACAUGCAAGUCGAGCGGUAGCAUGGUUAGUAGCAAUACUAACUGAUGACGAGCGGCGGACGGGUGAGGAACACGUAGGAACCUGCCCAAGAGAGGGGGAUAACUAAGGGAAACUUUAGCUAAUACCGCAUAAUUCUCUGAGGAGAAAAGUUGCCCGUAAGGGUAGCGCUUUUGGAGGGGCCUGCGUCCGAUUAGUUAGUUGGUGAGGUAAUGGCUCACCAAGACUGUGAUCGGUAACUGGUCUGAGAGGACGAGCAGUGACACUGGGACUGAGACACGGCCCAGACUCCUACGGGAGGCAGCAGUGGGGAAUCGUGGACAAUGGGGGCAACCCUGAUCCAGCGAUGCCGCGUGGGUGAAGAAGGCCUUCGGGUUGGAAAGCCCUUUAGGAUGGGAAGAAGUUUAUGGGAUGAAUAAUCCUGUAAAUUGACGGUACCAGCAGAAUAAGCACCGGCAAACUCUGUGCCAGCAGCCGCCGUAAGAC
rnacentral:rRNA from 1 species